rnacentral:rRNA from 1 species
CACGCCGUAAACGAUGGAUACUAGCUGUUGGAAGCAAUUUCAGUGGCUAAGCGAAAGUGAUAAGUAUCCCACCUGGGGAGUACGUUCGCAAGAAUGAAACUCAAAGGAAUUGACGGGGGCCCGCACAAGCGGUGGAGCAUGUGGUUUAAUUCGAUGAUACGCGAGGAACCUUACCAAGGCUUAAAUGUAGAUUGACCGGUUUGGAAACAGAUCUUUCGCAAGACAAUUUACAAGGUGC